rnacentral:lncRNA from 1 species
CAGGACCUGAAAUGGGCCGACCAGGAUGACGAAACCACAGACAAGAGGCCGGGGAAGCAGCGCGGCAUCCCAUCCUCAGGCCUGCCCGGACGGUGUUCGGGAUCAAGAGGACCACAGUCCAGCCCAGGACAAAAGCCCCACGGUAGCACAUUGUCCGGCAGGAGAGGAGCAGACCCACGUCCAAGAAGAUGGUUGUACCUUUCCACGCCUCUUCUCUGCGAAAUGAAGCCACACCACGACACAAUCUUGAAGAGGAAGCCGGGAAUGGGAGACAGCAACAAUCCUUGUCCCUGGAACGCUGGCCUCUAUGGACAAGCCACCCGCUUCGCACCCCUCCCCUUAUGCCCG